rnacentral:rRNA from 1 species
ACGUCGACACCUACGGGAAGCAGCAGUGGGGAAUAUUGCACAAUGGGGGAAACCCUGAUGCAGCGACGCCGCGUGAGCGAAGAAGUAUUUCGGUAUGUAAAGCUCUAUCAGCAGGGAAGAAACUGACGGUACCUGACUAAGAAGCACCGGCUAAAUACGUGCCCGCAGCCGCGGUAAUCUGAGCGGGCUGGCAAGGC